rnacentral:rRNA from 1 species
CCCCUAGAUGUUCUGGGCCGCACGCGCGCUACACUGAACAGUUCAACAAGUCUUAACCUUGGCCGAUAGGUCUGGGUAAUCUUUGAACGCUGUUCGUGAUUGGGAUAGACCUUUGCAAUUAUGGGUCUUCAACGAGGAAUUCCUAGUAAACGCAAGUCAUCAGCUUGCAUUGAUUACGUCCCUGCCCUUUGUACACACCGCCCGUCGCACCUACCGAUUGAAUGGUCCGGUGAAAUCUCGGGACGGCGGCUCGGUCGCUUGCGUCCGACUGCUGAAACUUGAUUAAACCAUAUCAUUUAGAGGAAGGCGAAGUCGUAACA